ensembl:lncRNA
GUGACGAUUCGUGUACCAGAGAGACACAGGGAGAGCAAGAGAUCCAAUUGCAGGUAUUUAUUCAGGUAAGGGAAAUCCAAAAUCGUAGUCGAAUGCAGCCAAGGUCAAAACCAAAAAGACAGUCCAAACAAAACAAACAAAUGAAAGGGACAGGAAAAGGGAACUCGGAAUGCGAGAUGACUCAGAGGACGAGCAGACAGGAAGAAACUCGGGGACGAGAAAGCUGGACACACGAAGGGUAAGGACUCCAUACAGACAACAGGAAAAGACAGGAAUAUAUAGGGAGGCUAAUGACAAUAGAUUGCCUGCACCUGGUGCAAUUAACAGGAGUGCAAUUACUGUGAAGACAGGACCAGACUAGAGGAAUUCUAGUGCCUACGGUGAAGUGUCUAAGGGGAAGUGAGCCCACUAGUGGACACCCAGGGAAACAGAGACUAGACAGCGUGACAUUACCCCCUCCUCCACGGAGCAGCUGCCAGAUGCUCCACCCGAACCCAAGGGAAAAACCAAAGACACAAAGAGACCAGGAGGGAGGUGGAGCGGCGGAGGACCAGGGGGAGGGACGGAGGGCCAGAUAAAAAUGGUAAAACAGAGACAAGAGGACCAGGUAGAAUGGGGAAACCGAGACAAGAGAAGUGCAACACAAAACAAGGAGUCCAGGAGGGUGGUGGACCGGCAGAUGAUCAGGGGGAGGGACGGAGGACCAGGUCCAUAGGAGGAAACCGAAAGAAAGACAGACCAAAAAAAACAACAAAAAAUACUCAAAAACACAAGUCCAAGAAGGACAUCACGUGACGCCCACCAGGGCGGCGCAGAAGACAACCAUAACCGUGUGGUCGGGACGGACGCCCCCCAGGGCGGAGCAGAAGACCACCACAACCAUGUGGUCAGGGCGGAAGCCCCCCAGGGCGGAGCAGAAGACCACCAUGUCCGUGUGGUCGAGAUCGGAGUCCCCCAGGGCGGAGCAGAAGACCACCACAACCGUGCGGCCGGACCAACAGGAGGACAAGUCUGGUUGGGCAAGUCUGAAACACAGAACAUGAACAUGUUAAGGGUAGCCUCCGUGGCCUCCACAGGAACAGUCGGGUGCCCAGAGAGAUCUACUGAGACAUGACGAGUCUCUGGAAGUUCCGCAAAGGCGAGGAGAGACUCUGGUAGUUCAGCAGAGACGUGGAAUGGUUCUGGUAGUUCAUCCGAGACCUGGAGAGGCUGUGGUAGUUCCACAGAGGAGUGACGAGACUCUGGUAAUCCCAUGGUGUUUAUACUGGAUUCCAGAAGAUCGAUGCUGACUUGACUCUGCUCCUGAAGAUCAUUGGUGACUUGCACUUGUUCAUGAAGAUCAUUGGUGACUUGCACUUGUUCAUGAAGAUCAGUGGUGACUUGCCUUUGUUCAUGAAGAUCACCGGUGACUUGCCCUUGUUCAUGAAGAUCACCGGUGACUUGACUCGGUC